UACGGAGGGUGCGAGCGUUGUCCGGAAUUAUUGGGCGUAAAGAGCUCGUAGGCGGUUCGGUAUGUCGGAUGUGAAAGCCCUUGGCUUAACCUAGGAAGUGCAUCCGAAACUGGCGAGCUAGAGUACUAAAGAGGAUCGCGGAAUUCCCGGUGUAGCGGUGAAAUGCGCAGAUAUCGGGAGGAACACCGGUGGCGAAGGCGGUUCUCUGGGCCUGUACUGACGCUGAGGAGCGAAAGCGUGGGGAGCGAACAGG
rnacentral:rRNA from 1 species